GUACUUCCGGAUGUCUGCUACCAGCUGAUACAAACAAUAGACUGUUUCAUGGCUGAUAUAUUCGAAGUUUUUCGAACUAUUUUUAUUAUUGCCGUCGCUUUGGUUGCAGUAAUACUUUUCAUAGCUUGUGGAUGGUAUCUUGUAUGGAAGCUCUUCUUGUCAAAAUUCAAGUUUGUACAAGAACUUCUAGGGAAAAAUGAAGGGAGGAAUGUAGAGGUGGCCUCAAAAAAGCCCAGAACAAAGGUCAGGCGAGACUAGAGUGAAGGCUGAGGUGUUCAGUCAUAUUUGGUAGUAAGGUGGGAAUAACAGUAGAAGAAUUCAGCAAUGGUUCCACAGGGGUCAGACAAGACUAUUGUGAAGGCUGAGAUAGUAAAUUGGAAAUGGUGGAAGCGCAAACAACACAGCUUUUGGUGUGGUUUCUUGAUGAGCAAUUUUGUGUGCUGGAACUAAGACAUUACAUCAAGUAAUUUUCAGCAGUUUAAAAUAUUGUUUUCAUGUCCAGACUUAGUUCUGUAAAUAUAUACAGGUAUAUAUGUACUGUGACAAUGAGUGUGUGUGCAGUGUUCGAAAUUUGUUUAAAACUUGGUAUAGACCACGGGUUUAUGCCAAAACAAGAUGACAUAGACCUCAUUGAAUUGGCAUAGACCGCAACAUUGGGGAAAAAAAUAACACAAAUAUAAAACAUUUUCAUUUACUUCUAAUGUACUUAAAAAUCAUAUUUUCUUUCCAUUUCCAUAACAAUAUCCUCCUAUACUCAUAACGUUUAUCAGACGUUGACUGACCAUGCAGGGUCUAUUGGGAUAACUUUAUUGCUUGAAAUCUAGAAAAUCGGCAUAGACAAUUUGGUCUAUCCCAAUUACAACUGGCAUAGACCCGUGUCAUUUGACUCGGUCUAUGGUUAAUUUCGAACACUGGUGUGUGAAUAUAUACUGCAGACUCCUGCAGAACAACAAUGUGUUUUAUGCUGAAAGGAUAGAAUAUGUCUAAUUAAACAUGUUAGAUAUAAAAGUAUUUGCUUGCAACAUACAUGUAUCAUGCAAGUUUAUAUGUAACAAUUUGCUUUUACAAUGUACUUUGUAAUAUUUUGUAAACAACUUGAUUAGCCUUUACAUUUUAAUAUUGACAUGAUAUGAUAUUGGGUAUACAUAAUCUAUCAGGUGAUUGUACAUUUAUAUUAAAUGUUAGUGUCUGUGAGGAAUGUUACCUCUUUGUUUUUGUUUUUUUUUUAACAAAAUUUUAAAGAUACACAAUUUCAGAAUUUUACAUUUUAGAUGUCCCUUUGAUUGGUUGAAUAUGUCUAAGGUUACCAGUCUAUUCUUGAAAUAUAAAUUUUGAAACAAACAUCUUUGACACCGUGUUAACAUAUUUCUAGAUUACAGUUCACUCAGAGAAUGAAGCUAUUUCAUGCAUGUGAUCCAUCCACAGUAUUUAACACUGCUGUAUAAUAAAGUAGAUGGAAAACAA